AACGAACGCUGGCGGCAUGCCUAACACAUGCAAGUCGAACGAGACCUUCGGGUCUAGUGGCGCACGGGUGCGUAACGCGUGGGAACCUGCACUUAGGUUCGGAAUAACUCCCCGAAAGGGGUGAUAAUACCGGAUAAUGUCUUCGGACCAAAGAUUUAUCGCCUUUGGAUGGGCCCGCGUUGGAUUAGCUAGUUGGUAGGGUAAAAGCCUACCAAGGCGACGAUCCAUAGCUGGUCUGAGAGGAUGAUCAGCCACACUGGGACUGAGACACGGCCCAGACUCCUACGGGAGGCAGCAGUGGGGAAUAUUGGACAAUGGGCGAAAGCCUGAUCCAGCAAUGCCGCGUGAGUGAUGAAGGCCUUAGGGUUGUAAAGCUCUUUUACCCGGGAUGAUAAUGACAGUACCGGGAGAAUAAGCUCCGGCUAACUCCGUG
rnacentral:rRNA from 1 species